rnacentral:miRNA from 1 species
UAGGAAUGCAGAUUCUGAUUCAGUAGUCUGAGUUAAGACCCAAGAUUCUGCAUUUCUAACAAGCUCCCAGGUGAGG